rnacentral:rRNA from 1 species
CCUACGGGUGGCAGCAGUGAGGAAUAUUGGUCAAUGGACGAGAGUCUGAACCAGCCAAGUAGCGUGAGGGAUGACUGCCCUAUGGGUUGUAAACUUCUUUUAUAUGGGAAUAAAAUGUUCCACGUGUGGGAUUUUGUAUGUACCAUAUGAAUAAGGAUCGGCUAACUCCGUGCCAGCAGCCGCGGUAAUACGGAGGAUCCGAGCGUUAUCCGGAUUUAUUGGGUUUAAAGGGAGCGUAGGUGGAUUGUUAAGUCAGUUGUGAAAGUUUGCGGCUCAACCGUAAAAUUGCAGUUGAAACUGGCAGUCUUGAGUACAGUAGAGGUGGGCGGAAUGCGUGGUGUAGCGGUGAAAUGCUUAGAUAUCACGAAGAACUCCGAUUGCGAAGGCAGUUCACUGGACUGCAACUGACACUGAGGCUCGAAAGUGUGGGUAUCAAACAGGAUUAGAUACCCGUGUAGUC